rnacentral:rRNA from 1 species
GUGGGGAAUAUUGGACAAUGGGCGAAAGCCUGAUCCAGCCAUGCCGCGUGUGUGAAGAAGGUCUUCGGAUUGUAAAGCACUUUAAGUUGGGAGGAAGGGCAGUAAGUUAAUACCUUGCUGUUUUGACGUUACCGACAGAAUAAGCACCGGCUAACUUCGUGCCAGCAGCCGCGGUAAUACGAAGGGUGCAAGCGUUAAUCGGAAUUACUGGGCGUAAAGCGCGCGUAGGUGGUUUUGUAAGUUGGAAGUGAAAACCCCGGGCUCAACCUGGGAACUGCCUCCAAAACUGCAUGACUAGAGUACGGUAGAGGGUAGUGGAAUUUCCUGUGUAGCGGUGAAAUGCGUAGAUAUAGGAAGGAACACCAGUGGCGAAGGCGACUACCUGGACUGAUACUGACACUGAGGUGCGAAAGCGUGGGGAGCAAACAGGAUUAGAAACCCGGGUAGUCC